CAUUAAGUGGCUGAAAGUAAGUGUUGGUCUCUUAAACCAGUUUAUAGUAAUUAACAAAUACUCUUAUUGA
rnacentral:tRNA from 1 species